UCAGAAUAAUUCGAUUUGCACGAACGGCUUCUCAGUGUAAGAGAGAGGCUUUACUUGUUAAGCUAUAUUCUG
rnacentral:tRNA from 1 species